GACGAACGCUGGCAGCGUGCUUAACACAUGCAAGUCGAACGGUGAAGGGACCGGUUUUUGCUGGUUCUGGAUGAGUGGCGAACGGGUGAGUAACACGUGAGUAACCUGCCCCCUUCUUCUGGAUAACCGCAUGAAAGUGUGGCUAAUACGGGAUAUUCUGCGCCUGCUGCAUGGUGGGUGUGGGAAAGAUAUUGUUUCGGUGGGGGAUGGGCUCGCGGCCUAUCAGCUUGUUGGUGGGGUGAUGGCCUACCAAGGCGGUGACGGGUAGCCGGCCUGAGAGGGUGGACGGUCACACUGGGACUGAGACACGGCCCAGACUCCUACGGGAGGCAGCAGUGGGGAAUAUUGCACAAUGGGCGCAAGCCUGAUGCAGCGACGCCGCGUGAGGGAUGGAGGCCUUCGGGUUGUAAACCUCUUUCGCCAGUGAAGCAGGCCUGUCCCUUUUGUGGGUGGGUUGACGGUAGCUGGAUAAGAAGCGCCGGCUAACUACGUG
rnacentral:rRNA from 1 species